AUCGCUUCUCGGCCUUUUGGCUAAGAUCAAGUGUAGUAAAACAUACACACACAUAAAAUUAAAAUAGAUCUAAACAAAAUUUUAAAGAUACAUAAAGAGCCACUUCAU
rnacentral:snRNA from 1 species